rnacentral:lncRNA from 1 species
AUAGAAAUAUCCAUGUGCUGGUUCUUGGUUUGGCAACGUGUUGUUAUAAUUGCUUUCAUUGCCAGAGUCUGUCAUGAGUUUGGUGCAUUAUACGCUGUAAAUGUUUAAACUCUGUGUCCUAGACGCGGGGGAACAGGUGCUCAUCUUCCCCUCCCACGUGCUAAGCCACCCUUCCCGCUGUUUCCCUGCCAGUCCCCCUGCCCCACCCUCCCCGCCCCAUCAGGAAGGCCUGACCAAGGGGGGUGUCGCUCUGAUCUUAGAUCGUCCCUGACUCCUGCUGCUUUUGCGUUUCCCAUGUCGUUCUGGCCCCCCAGUCCCAGCAGCUCUCCCUACUAGGACAGCCUCCUACCGGGUUCUUGGCUGCGUCCUCUCCCCAGUUCAGCUCUCCCCACCUUCCCAGCACACUCCCCGAUCAUACCUAUUUCACCCUAAUACAACCCUAGCCUUCUGAGCACGGUUCAUUUUUUUUUUCUCUUUCUUUUUAGGGCCAUACCAGCAGCAUACAGAAGUUCCCAGAGUCAAAUCUGAGCUACCGCAGCAGUGAGUGACCGUCCAGCCCAUUGUCCCUCUGUGGUGACUGGAAGUCCAGGCAGGUAUGAAGGCGCCACCAAGUCAAGCAGCCCAGUCUCAGCCUCGGCCGAUCCUGCGGGGUCACUGGUCCCUGAAACUUGGAGCUGCUAAUCUCCAGGCCGAAACUCGGCCAGUCUUCAGGUCCAUCGACUUCCAGGCCCAGGUCCCCACUGAUGGUCCCUGCAGUCCUUGCACCGGGCCCCCUGCAGUCUGACUGUGCGUCUGUCCGCAGUCAUCCCCUGCGUGGCGGUGACCAUGAACUCAGGGCCACACAGACCCCACUUUGAAUGUCAAAUUGCCGUUGGCCAUGAAGGCCAACUACCUUUCUGAAAUCGGUUUUCUCGUCUAAAUGAUCGCCGUGAUGCCUCUGCAAGUGAAAGGAAAGAGACCAGGAAUAGUUAUGAGAAGAGAUUGCCAGCGGACUCUCCCUGAGAGGCGCAGGCGGGGUCCUCUGGCUUUGGAACCCAGGACCAAGCCUGGCGCGUGCUCAGUGGUCCCUUCUGCCGAGAGCGGCGCAGAUGCUGCGGCGGUGGCCUCUGUUUCUAGCCGGGUCGGCCUGCUUCUGGCGUCUACGACUUGAUCCUUGCCGGCGGGGCCUCUGCCAAUAUUGGGUACUGGUCAUGUGGGACAUGACGACCCUCUAAGAGUUUACAGUGUUUAAAAGUUCUUACUGAGCUUCUUGUAUAAAUUUCAUGGGGAAAUCAUGAAAUAUUAAACCACCUGAAAUAGUACCUCUUUGUCAAAACACUUCACUGUAACUUCCGUUUAAGGGAAACAUCCAAGCCAUCAAAUUCUGCUUGUGUGUAGUUUCAUGAGACAACGGCUUCAUGCGUGUUUCUGGAGAUUUUUCUUUCGUGCCCCACUCUCAGAACACAGGGCCUUGAAUGUGAUUUUCCGUUCAUCAGAGAAGGUUUGAGUUGCCGUUUUAGUCUGCGACACAUUUCCGCCUUGAGACCCCCAUCCUCGUACCUGUUGACCUUAUGUUGCCAUGCUGCCAUGGACGUCGUUGGGAAAUAAGCAAUACUAACACAGAAUGGGAAGAAUCCCUCCUCCGCUACCUGGGAACAGAAGUUUACUAUGCUGUGUCUGGGUCAAAAUGGGCCAGACCUGCUGCCUUGAGUCCAGAUCCCG